rnacentral:rRNA from 1 species
UACGUAGGUGGCAAGCGUUGUCCGGAUUUACUGGGCGUAAAGCGCACGUAGGCGGAUCGUUAAGUCGGGGGUGAAAUCCUGGAGCUCAACUCCAGAACUGCCUUCGAUACUGGCGAUCUAGAGUCCGGAAGAGGUGAGUGGAACUCCUAGUGUAGAGGUGGAAUUCGUAGAUAUUAGGAAGAACACCAGUGGCGAAGGCGGCUCACUGGUCCGGUACUGACGCUGAGGUGCGAAAGCGUGGGGAGCAAACAGG